AUUGAACGCUGGCGGCAUGCCUUACACAUGCAAGUCGAACGGCAGCGGGCCUUCGGGUGCCGGCGAGUGGCGAACGGGUGAGUAAUGCAUCGGAACGUGCCAUUGAGUGGGGGAUAACGUAGCGAAAGUUACGCUAAUACCGCAUAUUCUGUGAGCAGGAAAGCAGGGGACCGCAAGGCCUUGCGCUCUUUGAGCGGCCGAUGUCAGAUUAGCUAGUUGGUGAGGUAAAGGCUUACCAAGGCGACGAUCUGUAGCGGGUCUGAGAGGAUGAUCCGCCACACUGGAACUGAGACACGGUCCAGACUCCUACGGGAGGCAGCAGUGGGGGAAUUUUGGACAAUGGGCGCAAGCCUGAGUCCAGCCAUGCCGCGU
rnacentral:rRNA from 1 species